rnacentral:rRNA from 1 species
CCUACGGGUGGCUGCAGUGGGGAAUAUUGGACAAUGGGGGCAACCCUGAUCCAGCCAUGCCGCGUGUGUGAAGAAGGCCCUCGGGUUGUAAAGCACUUUCAGUGAGGAAGAACGCCUGGUGGUUAAUACCCAUCAGGAAAGACAUCACUCACAGAAGAAGCACCGGCUAACUCCGUGCCAGCAGCCGCGGUAAUACGGAGGGUGCGAGCGUUAAUCGGAAUUACUGGGCGUAAAGCGCGCGUAGGUGGCUUGAUGAGCCGGUUGUGAAAGCCCCGGGCUCAACCUGGGAACGGCAUCCGGAACUGUCAAGCUAGAGUGCAGGAGAGGAAGGUAGAAUUCCCGGUGUAGCGGUGAAAUGCGUAGAGAUCGGGAGGAAUACCAGUGGCGAAGGCGGCCUUCUGGACUGACACUGACACUGAGGUGCGAAAGCGUGGGUAGCAAACAGGAUUAGAUACCCCGGUAGUC